ACCUCACCCCACCGCUUCAUCUCACUAGCUCCCCCAAAGAUCCUGGAGAGGACCAAAGUCGGGGACCCAGAGGAGGCACCUUACUGACACAGGUUUAUUUCUUCCUGGCGAAACUCCCCCACCCCGAAUGAGGAGGCUCAGACUCUGCCGCCUUCCCGAAGCGGGGUCCGCUAGGCGCCGCCUGGAGAGGCCGGGCAGGGGACCAGGUAAAUGGCUUGGAAGCUCCAGCUAGAUCCGCGGGAAACAAGGGAGCCGGAGAAGCCGCCCUCUGCCUGGCAGCAGCCACAACCGACCCACGCCUCGCCAGGGGCUGUUGGUCCAGCACUUAGACAAACCCAAUCACUUCCACUAGUGACCACAGUUCCUGCAAGGCCAGAAUUCCUCUGGGAUCCCACCCUUGGCCUCAGUUGACUGGUAUCUGACUCAAGCCCAUCUCCCUGACCACAGACCUAAGCUGUGCCAAUUAAAGUCAUUCACCAAAACAUUUUAAACUGGACUUGGGAAAGAAAACCUGUCUCUGUGAUGGAAAGUUGUGAGCUGUGAGCUGUGAGGCCCAAGUUUUCAGCAGCUAUGUUUCCUGCCAUGUGGAGGAGGCCAGUCUAUAGUAAGGAAGAAGGAAGCUGACACAGAAGCAGCAGCAAGGGGCACGCAGUCUGGAUGGCUAUCUAGUGCCUUUUGCAAGUGUUCCUGAGGUCCAGCUUUGUCCCUGGCCUUCCUGCAGGUUGGCAGUUCUAACUUACCUUGGAAUCUGUGUACCAAAAGAGUUCUCCCUUUGCUCAAGCUACUUUAAAUUAGGCUUCUGUUGGCAGAAUCUAUUUAUCCUGACCAAUACUAAAGCAUUUCCUCCUAGUGAGCCCAAAACAGUCUUCUGAACACAUGCCUCCAUUUAUCCUUGUUCUUGGCUCUCUGAAGGUGCACAUAUUAAAAUCUCUUUAGUAAUGUACAAA